GACGAACGCUGGCGGCGUGCUUAACACAUGCAAGUCGAACGGAAAGGCCCUGCUUUUGUGGGGUGCUCGAGUGGCGAACGGGUGAGUAACACGUGAGUAACCUGCCCUUGACUUUGGGAUAACUUCAGGAAACUGGGGCUAAUACCGGAUAGGAGCUCCUGCUGAAUGGUGGGGGUUGGAAAGUUUCGGCGGGUGGGGAUGGACUCGCGGCUUAUCAGCUUGUUGGUGGGGUAGUGGCUUACCAAGGCUUUGACGGGUAGCCGGCCUGAGAGGGUGACCGGCCACAUUGGGACUGAGAUACGGCCCAGACGCCUACGGGAGGCAGCAGUGGGGAAUAUUGCACAAUGGGCGGAAGCCUGAUGCAGCAACGCCGCGUGCGGGAUGACGGCCUUCGGGUUGUAAACCGCUUUCGCCUGUGACGAAGCGUGAGUGACGGUAAUGGGUAAAGAAGCACCGGCUAACUACGUG
rnacentral:rRNA from 1 species